GUCGCUGUAGCUCAGCCGAUUAAAGCGCCUGUCGAGUAAACGGGAGGUCAUGGGCUCAAAUCCCAUCAGUGCCU
rnacentral:tRNA from 1 species